UCACGUCAUAUACAAACCGGAAGUUUCCGUGGGUGCCAGUAACAACAACCUGUGUUACCAUAGAGACGGUGACUGCACAGGACUGAUUCACACCUUACUUGCUCAGAGAAAUGGCUGCUAUUGGUUAAAUUCUUGUAACCUGUCAUGGCAAGAGGGAAUUCCAAUAACCAUGACAUCAGUAGAAAGAUGUUUUAUUUUGAUGCCGAGUUAUACCAUGAUGAGCUACUUUCAGUGUGUUCCAAAGGGUUACGUGUACAACAUAUGUGACGACAACCAUUGGGAAAUCAAAGAAACUAAUGGUCUUAUUAAAAGUCACGACAGCUUUCCUUGGAAUUACCCAGCAGUCACUAAAACUUGCAGGAAACGGUUACGUGUCAAUAAGAAAUAUGGUGUACGCAUUUUCGCUGAUGACUUUGACCUUGACCUUGACACUUCAAAAGAAAGGGUUAAUAUAUGGUACGUUUCACCCAAUGGACAUCGAGUAAAGAGAAAGAAACUUCGUGGAAACGACACAAUAGAUUUCAUAACUCUAGACGGCUGUAUUGAUAUAGAAUUUAAAACAUCGGAACAUUCAAAAACUGGACGUGGUUUUGUUUUUAAAUUUGAACUUGCUGUAACCAAUCAAACUGAGAAUGAUGUCAUCGUGGAUGAAGUUGGAACGUGUGGUGGGAAAUCUACAUAUUUCCCCAAAAGACCAAAGAGGAAUGGACUUAAACAUAAAGUAAAGAAAGGUAAGAAAAGAGAUGUGAAGAAACGAAGAUCUAGAAACAAGAAAAGGACAUCUGGAAAUAAAAACAGGAGAAAAAUGCUUAGUAGAAGACGGAAAUCUAAAAAAGGGAAAAGACUACAUGGAAAACAUCAAAGGAAGAAUUAAUCAGCAUUUGUUACUGCUAAUUUUAUGCACAAGCCUUUCAAGACACGACCCAAUGCCAAUAUCAUGAUUUAAUUUGAGCACCUUUUAAAUCAUUUUUUAUACAUACGCAUUUGCCAGCUAACAUUGUUGUUGAUAUUGUUUGUACUCUGGGAAUGUAUUACUGUGUCGACCGUAUAAACAAAACUUAAAGAUACAUUAUGGGAGAUUAGAUAAAGAGCUGGCAAUUCUCACUAUAAUAGUUAAAAACUAGAUAAUGUAAAGGCAAUUUGCUGAAAAUUUUAUUCAAAUUGAUCUACUAUGAACCGAGAACUAAGCGAUUGAAAUUUACGCCUAGCCUCGAUCAUCAUUACUAAAGUCAGUACGAUAAACAGCAUAGUCUCGAUUAUCCAUUUAAUCGUUAAAUCGUGAAGGAAAGUUAUGCAGUAAAUCGGCUCAUAAUCCACUAAAGUUCGUAGGCUAGCGAUGCCAUCUAGAGUUGAUUAUGAUCUGAAUAAGUUAAUUAAUGUCUAAUUAAUAAUUUAGAUAACAUUUCAGGCCUAAAGAAAGACCUGCAAUAGACAGAUUUAGCUCUUGCAUAAUGUAUGUUUAAAUGUGCAUUAACCUUCUACUAAUGAUAACGGGCAUAACCAUGCAUGAUACUCCUGAUUAACGUUCUCGACCUAACAGCAGGACUAACAUCGGACUUGCUGGUUAGUAAGCCAUGUGUUUAAUGGCAGAUAUCACAGCUGUGCUUAACGACCCUCUCCAUGAAUCUGGGUAAUCGAGGUAACCUUACUAACUCCAUGUCCUGCAAACAUUUAGUCGGAGGAUAUUGGUGGGAAUAGGGUCGGUUUAAUGUGGCCAAACAUUCAGAUUAUCGUCCCUCUUUUCCUUAUUACAGUCAAAGCACAAGUGCCAGGCCGAGAAUCGGGGUAAUCGAGGCAACCUUACUAACUCCAUGUCGUGCACAAAUGUAGUCGGAAGUUAUUGGUGGGAAUAAAGUAGGUUUAAUGUGAUCAAACAUUCAGAUUUGUAUGUACGCGUCAACACCUAUUGUAGUAACUGGAUAUCUAUUUUAUUAAAUUGUAGCCAAUUCUAUUGAGUUAAAACUUUCUGACCAGGUAAAUGGACCAUCCUUCAUUAUUUACGUCUUGUUUACAUAAUUGAAUCCAGUUAUAUCAUCGGAAUUGUAACACUAUUAAUAAUAAAACGAAACGAAAUCUUUAAUUGGUCUAUUUUUCUAUGUUAAGUAACUUAAUGUUGGAGUAACUGUGAACUGUGUGUUAUUUACUUAAUAAAUGCGAUAUCAGUGAUUCGCAAUCACUGUACCGCCGCCGCACAUAGGUGUGCCGCGAGAUCUUCCUAAGUGUGCCGCGAAACCAGCUAUUUAACUGAUGAAAUUCGAAACACUGCAAUGAAUAAAGUAAGGUCACAGCUGUGUUUGUCUUUAUUUAGUUUGAGUCAUUCUAUGUUUUUAUGACUAGUCUAUGUCUACGGUUGUAUGCCGUCUAUCACUUGCCAUGUGUUUAUUUUGUAAAAUUCAAAUAUUUUUUCAUAUAUAUUGAGCCAGGUGUGCCGCUAUUUUUUUCAUGUGUUCCAGGGUGUGCCAUUGACAAAAAAUGUUUGAGAACCACCACUGUAACCGAAUCGGGGUAUCAUUUAAUAUUGUGUAUUUAGCACUAAUUUCUUUCACAUUUGUUUAAUAUAAAAUUUUUGUUUAAAAAUUCGUAAAAAU